rfam:Takifugu rubripes chromosome, Chr_9
UUCAGCUACGGCGACAUGGUGCCAAAAACCAUCGUGGGGAAGGUGUUUGGAUCCAUAUGCUCCCUGAGCGGGGUGCUGGUCAUCGCCCUGCCCGUCCCUGUGAUAGUGUCGAAC